UGUUAUUCUCUUUCCAUUUUUCGACCAAACGAAAAUGAGGCUGUUGCAGUAAAUUUCCCUGUCUGGUCCUCCUCGAACCAACCACCUGCAUUACCAUCUCUGUUGCGCUUUAUAAAGCAGCUUUCACCGAAGAUUGUCGUGUCGUUGGAUAAAGGAUGUGACAGAACUGACCUUCCAUUCCCACAAUACAUCCUCCAUGCUCUUCAAUCCUAUAUACACCUAUUGGAGUCGUUGGAUGCUGUUAAUGUGGCUUCUGAUGCUGUGAACAAGAUUGAGAAGUUUUUACUUCAGCCAAGGAUUGAAAGUGCUGUUUUGGGGCGUCUUCGUGCACCAGAGAAAAUGCCCAAUUGGAAGACAAUCUUUGCUUCUGCUGGUUUUUCACCUGUAACUUUCAGCAACUUCACUGAAACUCAAGCGGAAUGUGUGGUAAAGAGGACUCCAGUGAGGGGAUUUCAUGUGGAGAAGCGCCAAGCCUUGCUUGUGCUCUGUUGGCAGCGUCGAGAGCUGAUCUCAGCUUCAGCUUGGAGGUGCUGAAGAGUGGCAAUUUGACUAGCAGGGGAGGUUGGUUUUUGAUCGACUCACAGUUUAUCAGAGGUUUCAACUUAAUCUAAUGUGGUAUUAAUAAAAUUUUGAAUAUUGUCGGCGAUGCCUCGUUUGGGACUUAAUAUGAAUUGUCUAACUUGUGAGUCUCCUCUGCUUGUUGGCUAUCUAGUCCAAGUAGAACAAAAUAUAUAACUGGAAAGUCUAGUAGGGAAUUAUUUGUUUUGAAAAUGGAUAUUGCUGGUAUGGUAUUUUGAUGUUGUUUCUGAUGACAAUAUGCUC
rnacentral:misc_RNA from 1 species